rnacentral:rRNA from 1 species
GGAAGUAAAAGUCGUAACAAGGUUUCCGUAGGUGAACCUGCGGAAGGAUCAUUAUCAAAUAUGGUUUUUUCUUCUACACACACUUGUGCACCAACUGUAGGUUAACUCAAAAGAGUAUGACCUAUGUAUUUCUACAUCCACACCUUUUAUGCAUGUCUAUAGAAUGAAUCAAAAGUUAUAAUACAACUUUCAGCAAUGGAUCUCUUGGUUCUCGCAUCGAUGAAGAACGCAGCGAAUUGCGAUAAGUAAUGUGAAUUGCAGAUAUUCAGUGAAUCAUCGAAUCUUUGAACGCACCUUGCGCUCCUUGGUAUUCCGAGGAGCAUGCCUGUUUGAGUGUCAUUUUAAUUAUCAAUCCCUAAAUGGGUUUGGAUUUGGAGGUUGCUGGCUAGUCAGCUCUUCUGAAAUGUAUUAGCGAUUGUGCAAGUCAUUGACACACCAAUUAGCCUAAUGACAUGAUAAUCAUCUGUCGUAGUGAAUUUUUGGUAUUGCCUAUUAUCGUUUUCAGUCAGAGUACCCAUUGACUUGACCUCAAAUCAGGUAGGAUUACCCGCUGAACUUAAGCAUAUCAAUAAGCGGAGGAAAAGAAACUAACAAGGAUUCCCCUAGUAACUGCGAGUGAAGAGGGAAAAGCUCAAAUUUUGAAUCUGGCAGUCUUUUGAUUGUCCGAGUUGUAAUCUAGAGAAGCGUCUUCCGUGCUGG